AGCUUUGCACGGUGGCACUGUCAGAACCAAUGAGGUUUAUCUGAGGCGUGAUUACUGCCAAUUGAAAACUUUCCCCAAUAAUCCUAGAAUUUGCAUUUCCUGUGCAUUGUGAAAGUUUUUACCGUGUUACAGCU
ensembl:snRNA U4 U4 spliceosomal RNA